GCCUGGAUGGCUCAGUCGGUUAAGCGUCUAAUUUCGGCUCAGGUCAUGAUCUUGCCGUUUGUGGGUUUGAGCCCCACUUAGGGCU
rnacentral:tRNA from 1 species